rnacentral:lncRNA from 1 species
CCACUCUUGACAUCACCAAAGCAAUUACAGAUGCCUCCUCUCCAUAUUUUCUUCACUCCUCCAAUCAACCCAGUAAUGUGCUUGUUGAUACACCAUUGAAUGGUGAUAAUUAUUCCGCUUGGUGCCGAGCAGUUACUCGGGCUCACAAUGCUAAGAAUAAGCUGGGGUUCGUUAACGGAACCCUCUCCAAACCCACCGAUCCCACUGCUUCGGCUCUCUGGGAUCGAUGUUGCAACAUGAUCAUGUCAUGGCUCCUCCACUCCAUAGAAAAGACCCUUGCCAGUAGCCUUGUUUAUUGUGCCACCCCGUUUGAUCUAUGGGCGGAGGGUGCUGCUAGAUGUACAGAACGUUUCUUUACAGAGUCUACACAGAAUGACGUGGCAGCUGAGGAUUAUUAAAAAAAAAAAAAAGUCUCCAGUGAUUUCCUUCAUUUCAUUCCCGUCUGCCUCUCCACCUGAAAUUGGGAACCCUAGAAUCACACCUCCGUCAACCUCCGACUGGGGCCACUAUCCUUCUCAACCUUCGACCGACGAUUUUAAAUGUGGCCAGAUUUGCAAUCAUCGAAAGCACAGUGAAAUCGGGUCCUUCAUCUUCACCACCGUCCACAAACGCCGCAUUCUUGGUCGACUCAGUCCACAACAGCUAGGUAUCUUCACCUUCGUCCACGAACGCCAACUGAUUUCCACCGUCGACAAUUAACUCAGUCCACAGCAACAAUAUUCUUUGUCAAACGUUGUGAAAAAGGAAGUUUAGAAAAUUGUGAAAAAUGGUGAAAAAGGUUUUGAAGAACGAUUUGAAGCUUGUUCAGUAUGCAACUGUUGUGAGAAUCAAACAAAUUCCCUAUUCUCUGUAAAUUGUGAAACUUGUGAAAAACGUUUUGAAGUUUGUUCAAUAUGUAAUUGCUGUGAGAAACUAGUGUAAUUCCCUUUUCUCUGUAAAUUGUUGGGAGAAACAAGUGUAAUCUUCUUGCUGUAUUUUAUUAUUUUUUUGCUAUAUCUCUCAAAUUGUGGAGUCCAGUCAACCAACCAUUUUAACACUUGUAAAUGGAUACUACAAUUUUGGGAGUCCAGUAAACUAUUUUGACACUAGUAAAUGGAUACUGCAAUUUUGGUUGCUAUUAGUUUUCUGUUGCUUAAAUUGCGUAAAUGGAUACUACAAUUUUUUUUUUUUUUUUUUUUUGACUGGGGAUGCCUACACAUUGUGCUCCAAAGUUGCAAAAGAAAAAUCGAAGAAAAAAGCUAGAGAAGAAAGUGGACUCGGCAAUUUCCAUAUGUGGGUAAGACAACUCUUGAGUGGACUGAAGAAGAGAGUGAAGCUACUCGAUUGGAAAAGGAAAUCAGCUCCUCCAAGAGAGUGGUUGGAGAAGAGAAUGCCGAUCGCUCAAAUAGCCAAUGCUCAGCUCCGGUGCUCGUGAGGUUGGAGAUGAAGUGGAGUAGCUAAUUUCCCCACUUCAAUUUUCAAUUUUAUCGCAUCCAGUUUCGGGGAUAAUGAAGUCGGCUUUGGCGGGUUAUGAGGUAAAACAUAGAGGAUUUCCCUCUUUUUUUCUCCAGCCACGUCACUAUUUUUACAAAUUCUGUAAGCAUUCUGUGAGAUUCAAUCUGUACAUCUAGCUUUAUUGAUGGGCGGAACUCGAAACCAGAUUCCAACUGAGCAACCGAACUACCAUUUUUCGUCUAAAAAGAGAUCUUGCAACCUAUCAGUGACAGAUUACUACGGCAAACUGAAGGCUCUCUUAGAAGAACUUUCUCUCUUCAAUCGGCCACUCCAUGCUCCUGCGGUGCUGCCAAAAAAUUCUCAGAACUCCAGUCCUCUAAUCAAGUGUACCAGUUUUAAUGGGUCUCAAUGAAUCUUAUCAUCAAUUGAGAUCCUAGAUUUUGGCCGUGGAUCCGUUGCCGUCGUUAACCCGUUGUUAUGCUAUCAUUCACCAAGAGGAGACCCAGAGCCUGUUAAAUGUGUCUCCUUCCCGAUCUGUUGCUGCAGCUUUUCUUUCCAAAGCACUGAGUCAACCUCCUACAUCUCAGCCCCAUCCUAAGAAGGUUUGGCCUCCUGAUAGUCCCUUAUGCUCUGAGUGUGGAAAAAUCAGUCACCCCCGUUCCAAAUGCUUCGAAGACAUUGAGUAUCCUGACUAGUGACCGAAUAAGCAAAAGAAACCAAAUUCGACUUCGGCAGUAAACAGUCCCAACUCUUCCUGCCUAUAUAACCAAUUAAUGGAACUUCUGCAGCCGACGUCCCUUGCUUUCUCAGGUUUAUCCCAUUCUCCCUCUUCCAAUUUACCAUUCUGCCCUUGGAUAAUAGACAAUGGUGCUACGCACCAUAUUUCUGCCUCUUCCUUCAGUUCUAGCUCUCCAACUAUCACUCACCCUAUUUCUGUCAAUCUUCCUACAGGAACCAGUGUUAAUGUCACUUCAACUGGUGAUAUUAAUCUGUCUCCUUCCCCCACCUUUCAUAAUGCUCUUUGUGCUCGUGAAUUUAAAUUCAAUUUAAUAUCUAUUAGCCAAUUAACUAAAUCUCUAAAUGGUAUCGUUUCUUUUUUCCCUAACUUUUGUGUCUUUCAGGACCUAACGGCAAAGACGCUAAUUGAAGUGGGUGAAGAGCGCGAUGACCUCUACUAUUUUAAACCUGCAAUUGCCUCGUCUUUCCAAACCACUGUAUCUUUUACAGUCUGGCAUAGACGGUUAGGUCAUCCAUCCAUUAAUAAUGUUCCUAGUUUUAUUUCUCGUCCUAAGAUUUUGGAACAUUGUGAUAGUUGUGCUCGUGGAAAGCACACUCGUUUACCUUUUCAAUUGGUUUCAAAUAAAAGUGCCAUGCCUUUUGAA